rnacentral:rRNA from 1 species
GGGGAAUCUUGCACAAUGGGGGAAACCCUGAUGCAGCGACGCCGCGUGAACGAUGAAGCCCUUCGGGGUGUAAAGUUCUUUCGACAGGAACGAUAAUGACGGUACCUGGAGAAGAAGCUGCGGCUAACUACGUGCCAGCAGCCGCGGUAAUACGUAGGCAGCGAGCGUUGUUCGGAGUUACUGGGCGUAAAGAGUGCGUAGGCGGCGAGCCAAGUUUGGUGUGAAAUCUCCCGGCUUAACCGGGAGGGUGCGCCGAAAACUGGUUGGCUGGAGUAUGGGAGAGGAAAGCGGAAUUCCUGGUGUAGCGGUGAAAUGCGUAGAUAUCAGGAGGAACACCUGCGGUGUAGACAGCUUUCUGGACCAAAACUGACGCUGAGGCACGAAAGCGUGGGCAGCAAACA